GUGCCAGCCGCCGCGGUGAUACGGAAGGGGCUAGCGUUGUUCGGAUUUACUGGGCGUAAAGCGCGCGUAGGCGGCGGACCAAGUUAGGCGUGAAAGCCCUGGGCUCAACCCGGGAACUGCGCUUAAGACUGGUUCGCUUGAGUCCGGGAGAGGGUGGUGGAACUCCCAGUGUAGAGGUGAAAUGCGUAGAUAUUGGGAAGAACACCGGUGGCGAAGGCGGCCACCUGGACCGGUACUGACGCUGAGGUGCGAAAGCGUGGGGAGCAAACAGGAUUAGAAACCCGAGUAGUCC
rnacentral:rRNA from 1 species